rnacentral:rRNA from 1 species
AGUGAACGCUGGCGGUAGGCCUAACACAUGCAAGUCGAACGGCAGCACCGUACGAGCUUGCUCUUAUGGGUGGCGAGUGGCGGACGGGUGAGGAAUACAUCGGAAUCUACUUUUUCGUGGGGGAUAACGUAGGGAAACUUACGCUAAUACCGCAUACGCCCUACGGGUGAAAGCAGGGGAUCUUUGGACCUUGCGCGAUUGAAUGAGCCGAUGUGGGAUUAGCUAGUUGGCGGGGUAAAGGCCCACCAAGGCGACGAUCCGUAGCUGGUCUGAGAGGAUGAUCAGCGACACUGGAAGUGGGACACGGUCCAGACUACUACGGGAGGCAGCAGUGUGGAAUAUUGGACAGUGGUCGCAAGCCUGAUCCAACCAUACCGAGUGUGUGAAGGAGGCCUUCGGGUUGUAAAGCCGUUUUGUUGGGAAAGAAAAGCAGCAGGUUAAGACCCCGCUGGUCUGACGGUACCCAAAGAAUAAGCACCGGCUAACUUCGUG